GCCUACUAUAUUGUCUGCUUUCUAGGCAGAUAUUGUCCUCUUGACGUCCAUCUCCAGAUAGGAAAGGCUUGUGCCGUCUCUACCUAAGGGGUCUGCAAGAUGUUUUCACUGAUUAAAGCUAUCAAGUCGUUUUUGAGUUCUAGCAACCGACCUUUGCAACUGAGCCAAGUGAAAUAAAUUGCACUAUUAAAUUUCCCUGGUGGUGUCUCAGUGGAGAUCAAAGCCUCUCUUUAUGACUUAUUUAAUGUGGCUCUCAAGGAUUUAGGACAUUGCAACAUCGUCAGGUGAGAGUCUCCAGGGAAGCCAGCUUCACUCCUGCUGGCCAGGGCUGCAUCCAAGAGCACCCAGCAUGCCAUGUUCAUUCCUGAAGGAGGAAAUUGUAUAUCUGUUAAGUACUAAAUGCCAUGUUCUUCUGUAAAUUGGCCUGCAUGGAAGUCUCCAUUAGAUCACACAGAGAGAAAAAGUAUGCAGCCUAGAAAUUGGGGUCUAAGAAAGAGGAAGUGAUAAUCUAUAUUUGGUAGAAAUGUUUCCAAAAAGGAUUUGUAAAAAAAACAAGAGGCAAAAUAGUGUAGGAAGUUAGCAUCCACCCUUUCCUGGAAGAGUGAAAUAUUUUAGGAAAUAUGAAAAAGGUAGAAUAUUAUAUUUCCCUGGGAUAAGCAUGUUUUGAAGCAGCUCCCAUCUUCCUGCCCCCACCCUUUGUCAAUGGGCCAUUAAGGCUUGGGCCAGUCUAUUCUACAUAACAAAGAUCUACCUCCUUCAGGCAGAGCCAUAGUAGGAAUUGCCAAAGAUCCAACAAAGAUAGGAUUAGCUCUCUACACAAUAUCAGCAGAAACUCACCACAUGCGACCUGGGAAGCACAUGUGACCAUCGGCUAGCUAAGACCCCACCCCCUGGGAGUCUGACAACCAAUCAGAGUUCUCUUUCUAGGCCCCAGGAAGUUCAAAGCCAGAGAGAGCAUAAAACCUGAAAAACUCGCUGUAUCUGCCCUUUUCUGUUCAGGAACUCAAGCCAUGUGAUCCUGUCCACCAUUAAACCAUCUUUCCAAGCAGUC